AGAGGUGGAUAGGCAACCAUUGGGAUUUCUUGAGGAGUGAGGAAACAUGGCCUGAAUGGUUUUUGUAGAAGGUAGUGUCCAUUCCUCGGGGAGGGCCGGUCUCUCCAAGUGGAGAGCAAGGACAUCCGCAUCACACAUCUUCCUGCCCCUGCCAGGUUUUCCUGUCCGAUUCCCCAUCCCUCCGGCCCUCACGAGGAGGAAGUCUGCUGCAGGAGGUGACAGGACACAAUGGGGACUGAACGUUUUUGUUUUGGGCCUAGGUCCUGUCAGAGCAACAGGAACUGAACUCCUUAGGCAUGACCCUGUCGGAACGUGGUUCAGGAAAAGGCCAGCACAUCUCAGCCGCUUGGAACGGCAGCCCGUCGACAUCAGUCACAUCUGCAGACUGACCUAUCGGAAGGAGGAGGGCACGUAACAUCAUGGGAUGUGAAACUCUUCGGACCAGAUUGUCACUGGUGCCUGUUCAGAGACUUCACUUCUGCCCCAAUGUUGUUUCAUUGAAAACUGUGUCCUCGUACUGGGGAAGAGAAAGAAAGGGGUGCCUCACAAUGGGAGCCCUUUCCCCAAGAGAACCAUUGCUGCUCAGGACUGCACACUUAGCACUGUGCUCUGCAUAAAGUGCGGCGCAAGAAAAGGUCCGGCGCAAACACAAAGAGCUUGGAGACACAAACAACCCUCCUCAGAGGCCAGUUUAAGGAGACUCACGACCCUCCUGGCGAAACUGAAAAGUCAUCUAGAUGAUCGGCUGCUUUCUUGGGACCAUCUGAUGGUGGAUACAAGUAGUUCAACAUUCAAGUGGGUAACUCAUCACACCGUGACUCCCAGCCUCCUUGGGGCCCACUGGCUGGGCUAGAAAACUGGGCUGCUCACCCCAUUGCCCUAAAAGCAGCGUGGCUCGGUGGAAAGAGCACGGGCUUUGGA